rnacentral:tRNA from 1 species
GGAAGCGUGUCAGAGUGGUUUAUUGGGACUGCCUCGAAAACAGUUGGCCGCAAGGCCACAGAGGUUCGAAUCCUCUCGCUUCCGCCA